GGUCUGUUGGGGGUGGGGGUCCUGGGAAGACGGUUGUGGAGAAAGAGAAGAACGGGGGCCAUGCUGGGAGGCUCCUGAAGAGGGAGGCUGCCAUCUUUGCCUUCCUCUGACUCUGAGAGUGGGAUUUGCACCAGGGGCUUCCGAUGGUAGUCUAUUCAGUGCCUUCCAUGUUGCCCAAUCUUCUGUGUGCUCAGGGGGGAGUCUCUCAUCCGCUCUUAGCCAUGGAUUGAGUUUCCGGGUUUUAGCCUGCCACUUUUGGACUCUCACUUGCUGAGGUCUUCCUGCGAGUAUCUUUGUAGAUCUUAGAAAGCUAUUUUUUGAUGUAAGGCAUUGGCGUGCUGGUUGAUAUUCGAAGUUGAUGUCAGGUGGUGCAAUACCGGCUAAACAGUAUAUUUUCUCCAGUGGUGUAGGGUGUAGGCAUCCUGUGAUAAGGCGGCAUGUCUCAUUAAGAGCCACAUCCACUGUUUUAACGUGGUGAGAUGUGUUCCACACUGGGCAUGCGUUCUCAUUAGACAUCAUGAGUAUAGACAACCUGACCCAACAACUUAAAAAUGAUCAAGGAAAGCCCCCAAAAAAUCCAUUUAAGGAUGAUUUGAAACAAGAAAAAUUAAUGGAAAGAUACAAAGGGAAACUAUAAUACCAAGAAGAGUGACUGGGUGUGGAAGAAUCAAACAAGAUUUAGAAACAUCUAAACAUCCCAAACUAUUCCCUUAUAGCGGUCCCCCCAUCCCAUGCACAGCACUCCCUGAACUGAUCCCUGAACAUUUUUAUAUGUAAAAGCCUGAGUGAAUAAAAAGUGCUUAGCCCUGCUGCUGGAAGGACUGCAGGGAGGGGGCCGUUCUGGCUUUCCUGGGAAGAAGGGACUUCCAGGGUUGAGGGGCAGCCGCCAAGAAGGAAAGCCCUCACUCACAUUCCCACCAACCGGGCUUGAGAUGGAGGUGGGACCGAGAGACGGGCCUCUCCUGAAGAUCUCAGGACCCGGGCACAUUCGUACAAGGAAAUGCGGUUGGCCAGAUAGCCCGGACCUGAACCGUCUAGGGCUUUAAAUGUCACAACCAGAAUUUGGAUUUGUGCCCAGAAGCAGACUGGCAGCCAGUGUCUUGUCUGGAUUAAAUUUCAAUUGGUUUUCCCUCAUCCAGUCCAUUACUGAUGACAGACGCUGCUUUAGGAUCAGGACAGUUUCCUUGACUUUAGGUGGAAAGGAGUAGUAGAGUUGGGUGUCAUCCGCACAUAGGUGGCUCCGAACUCCAAAACUUUGGAUGACCUUUCAUGUCAAACAGUGUGGGGGGCAAAAUGGCAUUGAGAAAAUUACGAUCUGCCAACUGCAAAAGGCCACCCUACUGGGAUCUGCGCGCAUCAUCCGAAAAUACAUCACAGUCCUAGACACUUGGGAAGUGUUUGACUUCUGAUUUUGUGAUACGAAAUCCAGCAUAUCUACCUUGUUUGCUGUGUCAUGCAUAAUAAUAAUAAUAAUAAUAAUAAUAAUAAUAAUAAUAAUAAUAAUAAUAAUAAUAAUAAUAAUAAUAAUACAACUUGUUAAAUAGCAUGGGGGACCCAUGGAGCAGAUUGUGACACAGACCAUCAACUGUGCUGGUAGCUGAAAUUAAAGAGAAAGAAAAAUGCUAAAUUAACUAUCAUCUGAAAAUACAACCUGAAGAACAUCCUCAAAUAAUGCAAAGAUAACAUAAAAUAGGAUUGUACUAUUAAGCCUAAAGAACUUGAAGCCAGAAGAACUGAAGCUGAGGACAUUGUCAUGAAGGAAUCCAAAAGAUACUAUCUUCAGCAGAAAAUAAAAGGAAGCAUCAGUGGAUUACAGGUGAAACUUUUCAAGCAGUUACAAACAGAUAAAGAAUAAAAAUAAAAGGUGACAGAAAUAAGGCAAGAACCUUGAAUGCAACUGUUCAGAUUUGUGUGCAGGGACAAGAAGAACUAUAAUUAUGCAGAGAAAUAGAAAAUGACAACAAAAAGGAAAAACAAGAAAUGUCUUCCACAAGGAUAUGAUGCAGUGUGGCAGGAUAGACCCUGUUAUGCAAGGUGUUAAGAAGUUCUGACAGUACCUAUUACUAAUGAUGUGCAUUUAUUAUAAAUGGGAUAAAUAGCAACUAGGACUAGGAGUGUGGGCAACUCGUACAGUAAAUGUUAUUUAGUUUGUAGAAUAAACUGAACCUUAAUGAUGAGCUUGCAGAGUAUUUUAUAUAUUGUGGAAAAAGUUAGUUCAGUCUUGGCAUAUGAAGUACAGUAACGUCUUGUGGAGCAUAUCAUUUUAAGUGACAAUAAAAAGUCCUUCUUAAAAUGUUAUUACAGACAUUGAGUGAAGUAAGGCAUUUGACGUUUCCUGAUCUGUUCAUUGAGAAGUAUCCAGAGGAGUAUGCAAUGGUAAAGCACAUGCUCUCUCCAAGUCCCACGGAAAGACCAGAGGCUGCGGACAUUAUAGAAAACCCUUUAUUUGAAGACUUGGAAUUCCCAGCAAAACCAGUGCUGCGACAGAGAUCACGGACAAUGAGUUUAUCUGGAUUGAAGCAUUCAAGAUAGCUGAAUAAAUAAUUUGGCAUAAUUAUGAUGGAUUGAUUUUACUGUGGUAAUUCAACAGGAAGAAUUCAGUGUCCAGCAGCAUCCCUGGAAUAUGCAUAUUCUCAGCUUUAUGGUGUCAUAUUUAUGUAAGCUACCAUUGGAUGGAGCUAAGAAUUUAUGUUUAAUAUUUUCUAAUCUCUUGAAACACAUGACUUUCACUUCAUAAUGUGGUAUAUUUUAAAUUCUGAUACACUGUCUAGUAUGUGAACUUUGUACAUAUUCUAGGAAAUUGGAAAGAAUGGCUAUUAUGUAAAUAAAAUUAAAUUCUGUAUUUUUAUAGAACCAGUUGGUCUCUAAUCUUGACAUAUAGCCUUGAUUACAUUAAUGUAAGACAUGAAAGCUAUUUUAGAGCAAACUUACAAUUUUGUCCCUGGAGGAUAACAUGCACAAUGAAAGUAGUUUUACUGUGAUUAGCCAGUUUUAGACCAAUUGUGAUUUGUUUCUGCUCAGUAGACAUUGUUGAAAAAAAUUAGAUGAGGAAGGAAAAAGAUUUGAACAGCUUGAAUUGCCACAGUAACAAAUGAAGCAUUUAUUCAAUAUUUUUGUAAUUCCUAAAACAUUGUGUCUAACGUUACCUUGCAAGAAUGUAGUAAUCAGGUCUUAAUACAUUCCCGAAAUGAGAUGAUUGUGCUUGAUAAACACCUCCUUCUCACUGUAAAUAUGUUAAUUUUUUAUUUAUAAAAUGGCAAAUCAAUCCUUUUGGGGUUGGUGGUGUACAGUAUGCACUUGGAACAAUUUGUUAGGUGCAUUUAAUUACUGUGACUUCUUUCAAGUCUGAUUUAAUAAAAUCUUUUUUUAUUUA